rnacentral:rRNA from 1 species
GACGAACGCUGGCGGCGUGCUUAACACAUGCAAGUCGAACGGAAAGGCCCCUUUGGGGGUCCUCGAGUGGCGAACGGGUGAGUAACACGUGAGUAACCUGCCCCUGACUUUGGGACAACUUCAGGAAACUGGGGCUAAUACCGGUUAGGAAUCCUUUCUUCAUGGGGGGGGUUCGAAAGCUUCGGGGGUUUUUGAUGGACUCGCGGCUUAUCUGCUUGUUGGUGGGGUAGUGGCUUACCAAGGCUUUGACGCGUAGCCGGACUGAGGGGGCGACCGGCCACAUUGGGACUGAGAUACGGCCCAGACUCCUACGGGAGGCAGAAGUGGGGAAUAUUGCACAAUGGGCGGAGGCCUGAUGCAGAAACGCCGCGUGCGGGAUGACGGUCUUCGGGUUGUAGACCGCUUUCAGCAGGGGCGAAGCUUGUGGUGACGGUACCUGCAGAAGAAGCACCGGCUAACUACGUG